AACCUCUCUGCUCAGCUCCACCACAGCCUCCAUGGAAACUCCCCGCCUCAGAGCCCCAUCCCCACAGGAGACAAUCCACUGGGAUGCCCCACAAAGAGCCCGGCUGAUCCAAACCCUGCCUCUGCGCCCCAGUAAACUCCCCCAGAACCAAACCUUGGCUUCCUCCUAACUCAGGGAAACAUGGGGGCAGGGGUGUGGCAACAGACAGGGAGUGAAAAGGGAAAAGGUUCAUUGUAUGCAAAGCAGAGGAUCUAUUUGGGCACCAGUUAAUUCUUCCAAGGCAAAAAGUCAACAAAUAUCCUUCAUUGUUGUUAUUUUUCCUCUUCUACCUCUCAAAGGCUCCACUCUGCCUGACUUAUGCUGCAGAUACCCCUGGUGCUUGCUUGUCUUAAUGUUGGCAAGGAAAUUGCAUGUUUUUACUUCUGGCUAAGUCUGUCUCUCCCUGCUCGAGGUUACUAUCGGGCAAAUCUUCAGAGGGAGUGUAUAGUUCUGCUUUGCAUUACUGAGUGCUGUACAGGAUAAGAUGAUGUCAUUGUGUGCAUUUAACUGUCAUUUACAUCUUCAUUUAGGUUUCCUUUUAACUGCUUUUGGCAAAAUUGUAAUGCAACCUAUUUCUCUCCUCAAAGUUACCUCUCAGUAAUUUUUAUGGGUCUCCCUGGUAUUCUCUGUAUGAAUGAGUCUUGUGUUGCACACAAAUCAUAUACUGAUACUGCGUGAAUUUAAGUACGAAAGCAUUACCUCUAAUGCGAUUUUUUUUAUCUUGGAUCCAGCAUAACUGUUUGAAAGAGACUUAGGAAACCUCUAGACCAACACAAACCAUUGUUUCAGAGCUGGCAAUAAGUGAUGGAAAAAGAGUCAGUCAAAUAAAACGAGGCCUCUAUUUGCAAUCUUUUGAGCCAUUAGCACGAGUAUUGCUUUCUACUGGAACUGACAUUUUGUUGAUACUUCAUCAGACUGGAUGCUCUGAUGGCAAGGAAGAUUAAAACAGAAUAAACAGAGCUCAUGAUUGGAAUGUGUGAGAGGUGCAAACAUUUGAAGUCUUUUUAAGGACUUUAGCAUUCUUUGGAAGACCUUGAUGAAGACUACAUCAGCUGCAGCAUUCCCAAACUCCCAUGGAGGGAAAAAGGAAUAAAUUUCAGGCAGUUUAAAGGCCUUAUCUAUGUUGGCCUGGGUAUUGUUUGAAAAUGGAGUUACUGUAAAUACAGUAUUGUUUUCAAGAACAGCUCCUGUUCAACUACACUUCUACCUUAAUAUAACGCUGUCCUAGGGAGACAAAAAAUUUUACCUCGUUAUAGGUGAAACCGUGUUAUAUUGAACUUGCUUUGAUCCGCCAGAGUGGACAGCACUGCCCCCCUGGAGCACUGCUUUACUGCGUUAUAUCCAAAUUCAUGUUAUAUCGGAUCACAUUAUAUCAGGGUAGAGGUGUACUUUAAUAUGGUCUUAAGGGUUAAUGUGGAUGGGUCAAAACCAUGUAAGAACUGGGUUUAAAAAAAGAUAUGUAACCCAGGUAAAUAGUGUAGGCUACUAAAAUGGUUUGAAGAAGGCUGGAUAUGCCGCCACUGACUUUGAAACCAUGUUAGAAUCCACUUUAGCAGGAGUUGUUUGAAAACUGUUGUCUUACAGUAUCACAUGUCUGGUUGUUCAUUUUCAGUUCACUUUUUAGAGUUAAGGGAGUUCUUGCAUUUUUGUGUUAGGCAUUAUAGUGCUUGUCUUUUCUUUCUAUCUACUGACAUUUGUGUUUUAUUUGGUUGGUUGGCUUUGGAUUUUUAGCCAUUAAUGUAGAUAUCCUCUUUCUUCUUAGGCUUAAUUUAACAGGAGGAAAGAAUUUUGGUUCAUUCUGCUAUCAAAAUUUGGAGCAGCUUUUUAAGGGUCCAAUCAUGAAACUAGACCCAUGCAAACAGACUCCUAAAUGUAUUGACUAAAAUUUUAGUAUGUGACAAAUGAGGAAUUGGGAGUUAAUUUUUAACCUCGUGUACACUUACAACUUUGUGGUUACACGUUUGCAAUUACUUGAUCUACCAAAUUCUAGGUGAAAACAGCAAUCAACAUGUAUAAAACACUUUCCUAUGAUGCAGGGACUGUCUUUUUGUUCUGUGUUUGUACAGCACCUAGCGCAUUGGCAUCCUGGUCCAUGAUUGGGGUUUCUGGGCAUUACUGCAAUUCAAAUAUAUAUUGUAAAAAUCACCAUAACUAAUUUCAAAGUGUUUGAGGUGCUUCAAGAUGGAAAUAUAAACCUAGUUUAAAACAUCACAAAGAAUGCAAAGUUAACAGACAAAAUUAGUGCAGGGUAAUAACAAUGAAACAGUUCUACAUCCCAUACCUGGAAAACUGCAGUUUGUUUCUAACAGUGGAUUUGUGAGUUACCAGUUCCUGUUAUUGCUCCGAAAGAAUCUUUUGUAGUGUGAUUAAAAUCAAUGGAAUGUA